GCCACUAUAGCUCAGUCGGUAGAGCAUCUCACUCGUAAUGAGAAGGUCGCGAGUUCGAUUCUCGCUGGUGGCUCAA
rnacentral:tRNA from 4 species